rnacentral:rRNA from 1 species
UACGUAGGGACCGAGCGUUGUCCGGAAUCAUUGGGCGUAAAGAGCUCGUAGGCGGCUUGUCGCGUUGUUCGUGAAAAUUUACCGCUCAACGGUGAACUUGCGGGCGAUACGGGCAGGCUAGAGUACUGCAGGGGAGACUGGAAUUCCUGGUGUAGCGGUGGAAUGCGCAGAUAUCAGGAGGAACACCGGUGGCGAAGGCGGGUCUCUGGGCCGUUACUGACGCUGAGGAGCGAAAGCGUGGGGAGCGAACAGG